rnacentral:rRNA from 1 species
AUGCCGCCGCACCCCAAGAACGCCGCAGUUGGUAGUUGGUACAUGGCGCACGCUGGUGACAUGGUGGCUUUCUACGACGCCUGGGUGGGCCGCGAGGAGGAGAUGGUGUCCGACCUCACGGCCGCGCUCGGGGCGCGCCGGCGCGACGCGCUGGCGCCGCUCGUGGACGCCGCCAUGGACCACGUGGCCACCUACUACGAGCACAAGGCGAGCCUCGCCGACCGCGACGUGGUGGCGGCGCUCGACCAGCGCUGGCUCAACCCGCUGGAGCGCACCUUCCUGUGGGCGUGGGGGUGGCGGCCCGCGCUGGUGUUCCGCUUCGUGGACGGCGGCGCCGUGGGCCCGCGCCAGCGCCGCGAGCUGGAGGACCUGCGCGCGGCCACGGCGGCGGCCGAGAAGGAGGUGGACCGGGAGGUGGCGGCCGUGCAGGAGUCGCUGGCGGGGCCACGCGUGCUGGAGGCGCUGCGCCAGCGCCGGCAGCACCCGCGGAACGGCGUCCAGGCCGACGAGGCCGUGGCCGCGGUGGGGCGGUCGCUCCGCGUGCUGCUGGCCGCGGGCGACGCGCUCCGCGAGCGCACGGUGCGCGGCGUCGUCGGGGUGCUGGCCCCGGACGCGGAGCAGGCUGGCGCCUUCGUCGCGGCCAUGCUGAGGUUCCACCUCGGCGUCCACCGCGCCGGGCGCGCCUGGAGCUCCGGCCACGGCGGCGGCCGGCGGGGCCUCUAG